AUUGAACGAUGGCGGCAUGCCUUACACAUGCAAGUCGAACGGCAGCACGGGGCAACCUGGUGGCGAGUGGCGAACGGGUGAGCAAUGAAUCGGAACGUACCUUUCAGUGGGGGAUAACGUAGCGAAAGUUACGCUAAUACCGCAUAUUCUGUGAGCAGGAAAGCAGGGGACCGUAAGACCUAGCGCUGAUUGAGCGGCCGAUGUUAGAUUAGCUAGUUGGUGAGGUAAAGGCUCACCAAGGCGACGAGGUGUAGCGGGUCUGAGAGGAUGAUCCGCCACACUGGAACUGAGACACGGUCCAGACUCCUACGGGAGGCAGCAGUGGGGAAUUUUGGACAAUGGGGGCAACCCUGAUCCAGCCAUGCCGCGUGGGUGAAGAAGGCCUUCGGGUUGUAAAGCUCUUUCGGCCGGGAAGAAAUCGCACGGGCUAAUACCCUGUGUGGAUGACGGUACCGGAAUAAGAAGCACCGGCUAACUACGUGCCAGCCGCCGCAGUAAGAC
rnacentral:rRNA from 1 species